GGUUAAGCGACUAAGCGUACACGGUGGAUGCCCUGGCAGUCAGAGGCGAUGAAGGACGUGCUAAUCUGCGAAAAGCGUCGGUAAGGUGAUAUGAACCGUUAUAACCGGCGAUGUCCGAAUGGGGAAACCCAGUGCAAUUCGUUGCACUAUCGUUAACUGAAUACAUAGGUUAACGAGGCGAACCGGGGGAACUGAAACAUCUAAGUACCCCGAGGAAAAGAAAUCAACCGAGAUUCCCCCAGUAGCGGCGAGCGAACGGGGAGCAGCCCAGAGUCUGAAUCAGCUUGUGUGUUAGUGGAACGGUCUGGAAAGUCCGACGGUACAGGGUGAUAGUCCCGUACACCAAAAUGCACAGGUUGUGAACUCGAAGAGUAGGGCGGGACACGUGGUAUCCUGUCUGAAUAUGGGGGGACCAUCCUCCAAGGCUAAAUACUCCUGACUGACCGAUAGUGAACCAGUACCGUGAGGGAAAGGCGAAAAGAACCCCGGCGAGGGGAGUGAAAAAGAACCUGAAACCGUGUACGUACAAGCAGUGGGAGCACCUUCGGGUGUGACUGCGUACCUUUUGUAUAAUGGGUCAGCGACUUAUAUUCUGUAGCAAGGUUAACCGUAUAGGGGAGCCGCAGGGAAACCGAGUCUUAACUGGGCGUUAAGUUGCAGGGUAUAGACCCGAAACCCGGUGAUCUAGCCAUGGGCAGGUUGAAGGUUGGGUAACACUAACUGGAGGACCGAACCGACUAAUGUUGAAAAAUUAGCGGAUGACUUGUGGCUGGGGGUGAAAGGCCAAUCAAACCGGGAGAUAGCUGGUUCUCCCCGAAAGCUAUUUAGGUAGCGCCUCGUGAAUUCAUCUUCGGGGGUAGAGCACUGUUUCGGCUAGGGGGUCAUCCCGACUUACCAACCCGAUGCAAACUACGAAUACCGAAGAAUGUUAUCACGGGAGACACACGGCGGGUGCUAACGUCCGUCGUGAAGAGGGAAACAACCCAGACCGCCAGCUAAGGUCCCAAAGUCAUGGUUAAGUGGGAAACGAUGUGGGAAGGCACAGACAGCCAGGAUGUUGGCUUAGAAGCAGCCAUCAUUUAAAGAAAGCGUAAUAGCUCACUGGUCGAGUCGGCCUGCGCGGAAGAUGUAACGGGGCUAAACCAUGCACCGAAGCUGCGGCAGCGACACUAUGUGUUGUUGGGUAGGGGAGCGUUCUGUAAGCCUGCGAAGGUGUGCUGUGAGGCAUGCUGGAGGUAUCAGAAGUGCGAAUGCUGACAUAAGUAACGAUAAAGCGGGUGAAAAGCCCGCUCGCCGGAAGACCAAGGGUUCCUGUCCAACGUUAAUCGGGGCAGGGUGAGUCGACCCCUAAGGCGAGGCCGAAAGGCGUAGUCGAUGGGAAACAGGUUAAUAUUCCUGUACUUGGUGUUACUGCGAAGGGGGGACGGAGAAGGCUAUGUUAGCCGGGCGACGGUUGUCCCGGUUUAAGCAUGUAGGCUGGUUAUCCAGGCAAAUCCGGAUAAUCAAGGCUGAGGUGUGAUGACGAGGCACUACGGUGCUGAAGUAACAAAUGCCCUGCUUCCAGGAAAAGCCUCUAAGCAUCAGGUAACAUCAAAUCGUACCCCAAACCGACACAGGUGGUCAGGUAGAGAAUACCAAGGCGCUUGAGAGAACUCGGGUGAAGGAACUAGGCAAAAUGGUGCCGUAACUUCGGGAGAAGGCACGCUGGUGUGUAGGUGAAGUCCCUGCGGAUGGAGCUGAGACCAGUCGAAGAUACCAGCUGGCUGCAACUGUUUAUUAAAAACACAGCACUGUGCAAACACGAAAGUGGACGUAUACGGUGUGACGCCUGCCCGGUGCCGGAAGGUUAAUUGAUGGGGUUAUCCGUAAGGAGAAGCUCUUGAUCGAAGCCCCGGUAAACGGCGGCCGUAACUAUAACGGUCCUAAGGUAGCGAAAUUCCUUGUCGGGUAAGUUCCGACCUGCACGAAUGGCGUAAUGAUGGCCAGGCUGUCUCCACCCGAGACUCAGUGAAAUUGAACUCGCUGUGAAGAUGCAGUGUACCCGCGGCAAGACGGAAAGACCCCGUGAACCUUUACUAUAGCUUGACACUGAACAUUGAGCCUUGAUGUGUAGGAUAGGUGGGAGGCUUUGAAGCGUGGACGCCAGUCUGCGUGGAGCCAACCUUGAAAUACCACCCUUUAAUGUUUGAUGUUCUAACGUUGGCCCCUUAUCGGGGUUGCGGACAGUGUCUGGUGGGUAGUUUGACUGGGGCGGUCUCCUCCCAAAGCGUAACGGAGGAGCACGAAGGUUAGCUAAUCCUGGUCGGACAUCAGGAGGUUAGUGCAAUGGCAUAAGCUAGCUUGACUGCGAGCGUGACGGCGCGAGCAGGUGCGAAAGCAGGUCAUAGUGAUCCGGUGGUUCUGAAUGGAAGGGCCAUCGCUCAACGGAUAAAAGGUACUCCGGGGAUAACAGGCUGAUACCGCCCAAGAGUUCAUAUCGACGGCGGUGUUUGGCACCUCGAUGUCGGCUCAUCACAUCCUGGGGCUGAAGUAGGUCCCAAGGGUAUGGCUGUUCGCCAUUUAAAGUGGUACGCGAGCUGGGUUUAGAACGUCGUGAGACAGUUCGGUCCCUAUCUGCCGUGGGCGCUGGAGAAUUGAGGGGGGCUGCUCCUAGUACGAGAGGACCGGAGUGGACGCAUCACUGGUGUUCGGGUUGUCAUGCCAAUGGCACUGCCCGGUAGCUAAAUGCGGAAGAGAUAAGUGCUGAAAGCAUCUAAGCACGAAACUUGCCCCGAGAUGAGUUCUCCCUGAGACUUUAAGUCUCCUGAAGGAACGUUGAAGACGACGACGUUGAUAGGCCGGGUGUGUAAGCGCAGCGAUGCGUUGAGCUAACCGGUACUAAUGAACCGUGAGGCUUAACCUU
rnacentral:rRNA from 1 species